GCGAUUCAUUCCAGCAAUUCUUAUCCCACAAAUGAGCCUCAUAUCUCCCCGUCCAUCGAUGCCUAGGGUUUACAGAAGCGCAAUCGAAGUCAGAAUCAAUCGACAGAGACAGAGAGAGACGAAGAAGAAGAAGAAGAAGAAGAAGCUCGUAGAGAAGCAAGCAAGGGCGAUGAAUAAAACCUAGUAACGCCGCGGUAAAUGGAGCUUCGUUGAGGAGGCGAAUCUCUCGUUGUUGCGAUGUGGAUUUCGCCAUUGUGAAAUUUCCAAGAAGUUUAAAAUUGACGAUAAAAGUUAUGAAGGAAGGAGAUAGGUUAUAUAAUCUCGAGAUCGGAGGCGAUGAUGAGUGGAGUUAGGGCUGGCGUUCAAUUGAAUAUAGAGCUAGCUGUAAGGUAACCGGCCAUGGACCUUAUCUUUUUCUUCUUAUUUUGCUAAUGCUUCAUCAAUCGGUUUUUUAGUGGAUGGCUUCUUCUACCUUGUCUUUAACCUUCCAUUUUAGAAGUGUUUGUGGUAAAAUUGGAGCCGGCCAUGACGGUUGUUCUUUCUCCAUUUCUGCCGUCUUUCAUCGGUUUCAUUGCCUGGAAUCUUCCCUCUUCCGCUAUCACUUUCUACCGCUCUUCCAAACAACGAGAUUUUAUAUUGUUUUCUUCCACACCAAAUGACGGAAUAAUUUCACUUUUACUAAUUUGAUUGCUA